CCCUCCCUCUUCCUCCGAUCUGUGGGACUUUCUUGCUGCGCCGCUCUAGUACCACCCAGCCAACCCCCGGAAUGCUGGAACGCUGCCAGAUCCUCCACUCACGACUCCUGACAGUGACUGUGCAGCGCCUCGAACAGAUAAGAGCGUUGGACAAAGCCAGGCCUCUUGCAGCUCAUGAACAAAGUUUCUUGGAAACAACAAACCGCUGUUAGUGCAACACAGUGCAAGCAGUCUUUCAUCAGCUGUGGUGAUAUGACAGAGGAGUGAUGCAAGUAGAAAACCAGCAUGACGUAAAGCGUGCAGCGUUUCUGCAUGUUAAUGUGCCAUCAAGUCAAAUUAUGAGCCACGGUGGAACUCACACAGCAGCACUGAUAGAUAACUGCUGACCUGAAUGCAGAGGAAGAAGAGCUGAGCACAUACGAGUCCAUAGGUACGGACUGUUCUGUUCUCCGUCUGCUGCUGGUAACCGCUGGCAACCAUAGCAUCACUUCAAAGAGCCUGGACCAGUUCACAACAACAGGAGCAGGGAGGGGUGGAGGGUUAAUAAAAGCUACUGUUACACUCUGAGUCGCAGAAACACUCAGCGGCUUUAAGUCUUUGAAAGAAACGGGAGAACAUCACUCCACUGGCUUCCUGUCUAUUUUAGAAUAGUUUUAAAGAUUUUAUUGUUUGUUUUUAAGGUGUUAAAUGGGUCGGCACCUUCUUAUCUAUCCGAGCUUUUACAAGGCAGCAACACAACUUGCUGUUCUAAAGAAUGUGUAUUUCUUUGCAUGGAAACGGAGAAAGAUGAAGCCCAAGGAUCCAUCACAGUCGGUGUGUUGUCCAGGAAGGUCCAAAGCGCUGGUCAUGUUCAGACCCACAGUCCUGCCAUAGUCCUCCAAGGGAAUAGUGUCAUGGACAAUACUGACACCUUUCCUCAGGCAGUUUGCUGGUGUUUGGCUUUGAAUAUUCCUUGCAUUUAGAUUACCCGAAAAGGAUGGAAACACGCUGAACUUCAUGCUAGCAGUCAUGCUAGGAUAGGUAACAAGACCUCUCCAAAACUGCUAAAGACCACUCUGCUGGGUUCGACCUAUAAGGACUGAUCGGUAACCAAUGCAAACAACACUCAAUAGGAGGACUGUUCAGUGCUUUUCAUGCUGAGCCUCUUUUGUGUUAAUUGUUCAUUCACAAAUUUGUGUGGUUUUGAAGGAGUAAUGUUUGAAAUAUAUCACAACUGCAUGAGGUCCAGUUCUUUUUAGGAAAUUAGUACUACUUGAAAUGUUUUGGUCCAACACUACCUACAAGCCAUAUGUAUGUUAAAGCAGAUGAUUUAUGCCCUAAAUGAGAAUUUGAGAUCUUUUCUGAGAGUAUGACUUAAUUUUCAUUUGAAAAUAAAAGCUGCAGCUGUUGUA